rnacentral:lncRNA from 1 species
UGCGGGGAUGUUUGGCAAGGUAAUUGAGAUGAUACAUUGACUCUACAAAGAGAACUUUCAGCUUCUUUUUGUGCAAGUUGUGAGGGUGUUUGACUAGGUAAUUGAGAUGAUACAUUAGCUCUACGAUUAGAACUUCCAACUCCUUGUUGUGCAGGUUGUGAGGAUGUUUGGUUAGGUAAUUGAGAUGAUACAUUAGCUAUACGAUGAGAACGCCUAAGUCCUGGUUGUGAGGGUGUUUGGUUAGGUAAUUGAGAUGAUAAAUUAACUCUACAAUGAGAACUUUCAACUUCUUUUUGUGCAAGUUGUGAGGGUGUUUGACUAGGUAAUUGAGAUGAUCCAUAAGCUCUACGAUGAGAACGUCUAACUCCUGGUUGUGAGGAUGUUUGGCAAGGUAAUUGAGAUGAUACAUUAACUCUACAAUGAGAACUUCUAACUCCUUGUGAGAAUGUUUGGUUAGGUAAUUGAGAUGAUACAUUAGUUAUACGAUGAGAACGUCUAACUCCUUGUUGUGCAGGUUGUGAGGAUGUUUGGUUGGGUAACUGAGAUGAUACAUUAGUUCUACCAUGAGAACUUUCAACUCCUUGUGCAGGUUGCAUUUGGUUAGGUAAUUGAG